rnacentral:rRNA from 1 species
GAUGAACGCUGGCGGCGUGCUUAACACAUGCAAGUCGAACGGAGUGCUCAUGAUGGAGGAUUCGUCCAACGGAUUGAGUUACUUAGUGGCGGACGGGUGAGUAACGCGUGAGGAACCUGCCUCGGAGUGGGGAAUAACAGCCCGAAAGGGUUGCUAAUACCGCAUGAUGCAGCUGGGUGCAUGACCCUGGCUGCCAAAGAUUUAUCGCUCUGAGAUGGCCUCGCGUCUGAUUAGCUAGUAGGCGAGGUAACGGCCCACCUAGGCGACGAUCAGUAGCCGGACUGAGAGGUUGACCGGCCACAUUGGGACUGAGACACGGCCCAG